rnacentral:rRNA from 1 species
GGGUUGUGAGGUUAAGCGACUAAGCGUACACGGUGGAUGCCCUGGCAGUCAGAGGCGAUGAAGGACGUGCUAAUCUGCGAAAAGCGCCGGCGAGGUGAUAUGAACCUUUGACCCGGCGAUGUCCGAAUGGGGAAACCCAGUGUGAUUCGUCACACUAUCGUUAACUGAAUACAUAGGUUAACGAGGCGAACCGGGGGAACUGAAACAUCUAAGUACCCCGAGGAAAAGAAAUCAACCGAGAUUCCCCCAGUAGCGGCGAGCGAACGGGGAGCAGCCCAGAGUCUGAAUCAGCUUGUGUGUUAGUGGAACGGUCUGGAAAGUCCGGCGAUACAGGGUGACAGCCCCGUACACGAAAAUGCACAGGUUGUGAACUCGAAGAGUAGGGCGGGACACGUGGUAUCCUGUCUGAAUAUGGGGGGACCAUCCUCCAAGGCUAAAUACUCCUGACUGACCGAUAGUGAACCAGUACCGUGAGGGAAAGGCGAAAAGAACCCCGGCGAGGGGAGUGAAAAAGAACCUGAAACCGUGUACGUACAAGCAGUGGGAGCACCUUCGUGGUGUGACUGCGUACCUUUUGUAUAAUGGGUCAGCGACUUAUAUUCUGUAGCAAGGUUAACCGUAUAGGGGAGCCGAAGGGAAACCGAGUCUUAACUGGGCGUUAAGUUGCAGGGUAUAGACCCGAAACCCGGUGAUCUAGCCAUGGGCAGGUUGAAGGUUGGGUAACACUAACUGGAGGACCGAACCGACUAAUGUUGAAAAAUUAGCGGAUGACUUGUGGCUGGGGGUGAAAGGCCAAUCAAACCGGGAGAUAGCUGGUUCUCCCCGAAAGCUAUUUAGGUAGCGCCUCGUGAACUCAUCUUCGGGGGUAGAGCACUGUUUCGGCUAGGGGGCCAUCCCGGCUUACCAACCCGAUGCAAACUACGAAUACCGAAGAAUGUUAUCACGGGAGACACACGGCGGGUGCUAACGUCCGUCGUGAAGAGGGAAACAACCCAGACCGCCAGCUAAGGUCCCAAAGUCAUGGUUAAGUGGGAAACGAUGUGGGAAGGCACAGACAGCCAGGAUGUUGGCUUAGAAGCAGCCAUCAUUUAAAGAAAGCGUAAUAGCUCACUGGUCGAGUCGGCCUGCGCGGAAGAUGUAACGGGGCUAAACCAUGCACCGAAGCUGCGGCAGCGACGCUUAUGCGUUGUUGGGUAGGGGAGCGUUCUGUAAGCCGUUGAAGGUGUGCUGUGAGGCAUGCUGGAGGUAUCAGAAGUGCGAAUGCUGACAUAAGUAACGAUAAAGCGGGUGAAAAGCCCGCUCGCCGGAAGACCAAGGGUUCCUGUCCAACGUUAAUCGGGGCAGGGUGAGUCGACCCCUAAGGCGAGGCCGAAAGGCGUAGUCGAUGGGAAACAGGUUAAUAUUCCUGUACUUGGUGUUACUGCGAAGGGGGGACGGAGAAGGCUAUGUUAGCCGGGCGACGGUUGUCCCGGUUUAAGCAUGUAGGCGGAACGAUUAGGUAAAUCCGGUCGUUUUUUAACGCUGAGGUGUGAUGACGAGGCACUACGGUGCUGAAGUAACAAAUGCCCUGCUUCCAGGAAAAGCCUCUAAGCAUCAGGUAACAUCAAAUCGUACCCCAAACCGACACAGGUGGUCAGGUAGAGAAUACCAAGGCGCUUGAGAGAACUCGGGUGAAGGAACUAGGCAAAAUGGUGCCGUAACUUCGGGAGAAGGCACGCUGAUAUGUAGGUGAAGCCCCUGCGGGUGGAGCUGAAAUCAGUCGAAGAUACCAGCUGGCUGCAACUGUUUAUUAAAAACACAGCACUGUGCAAACACGAAAGUGGACGUAUACGGUGUGACGCCUGCCCGGUGCCGGAAGGUUAAUUGAUGGGGUUAGCGGCAACGCGAAGCUCUUGAUCGAAGCCCCGGUAAACGGCGGCCGUAACUAUAACGGUCCUAAGGUAGCGAAAUUCCUUGUCGGGUAAGUUCCGACCUGCACGAAUGGCGUAAUGAUGGCCAGGCUGUCUCCACCCGAGACUCAGUGAAAUUGAACUCGCUGUGAAGAUGCAGUGUACCCGCGGCAAGACGGAAAGACCCCGUGAACCUUUACUAUAGCUUGACACUGAACACUGGUCCUUGAUGUGUAGGAUAGGUGGGAGGCUUUGAAGCGUGGACGCCAGUCUGCGUGGAGCCGACCUUGAAAUACCACCCUUUAAUGGCUGGUGUUCUAACGUAGACCCGUAAUCCGGGUUGCGGACAGUGUCUGGUGGGUAGUUUGACUGGGGCGGUCUCCUCCCAAAGAGUAACGGAGGAGCACGAAGGUUAGCUAAUCCUGGUCGGACAUCAGGAGGUUAGUGCAAUGGCAUAAGCUAGCUUGACUGCGAGAGUGACGGCUCGAGCAGGUGCGAAAGCAGGUCAUAGUGAUCCGGUGGUUCUGAAUGGAAGGGCCAUCGCUCAACGGAUAAAAGGUACUCCGGGGAUAACAGGCUGAUACCGCCCAAGAGUUCAUAUCGACGGCGGUGUUUGGCACCUCGAUGUCGGCUCAUCACAUCCUGGGGCUGAAGUAGGUCCCAAGGGUAUGGCUGUUCGCCAUUUAAAGUGGUACGCGAGCUGGGUUUAGAACGUCGUGAGACAGUUCGGUCCCUAUCUGCCGUGGGCGCUGGAGAAUUGAGGGGGGCUGCUCCUAGUACGAGAGGACCGGAGUGGACGCAUCACUGGUGUUCGGGUUGUCAUGCCAAUGGCAUUGCCCGGUAGCUAAAUGCGGAAGAGAUAAGUGCUGAAAGCAUCUAAGCACGAAACUUGCCCCGAGAUGAGUUCUCCCUGAGACUUUAAGUCUCCUGAAGGAACGUUGAAGACGACGACGUUGAUAGGUCGGGUGUGUAAGCGUAGCGAUACGUUGAGCUAACCGAUACUAAUGAACCGUGAGGCUUAACCUUACAACGCCGAAGCUGUU